rnacentral:misc_RNA from 1 species
GAUGAAGAACGUAGCGAAAUGCGAUAAGUAGUGUGAAUUGCAGAAUUCAGUGAAUCAUCGAAUCUUUGAACGCACAUUGCGCCUCCUGGUAUUCCGGGAGGCAUGCCUGUUCGAGCGUCAUUAAAAUCACUCAAGCUUAGGUUUACCUAUUGCUUGGUCUUGGAGAUGGAAGCCAAUUUAUUGGAAUCCUCUUCGAAAUUCAAUGGCGAAGACCCUUGCUCUCCCAAGUGUAGUAAUAACUUAUGUCACUGAAGGAAGCGAGAAAUCUUCUGCCGUAACCCCCAUAUUUUCUAUGAUUGACCUCGGAUCAGGUAGGGAUACCCGCUGAACUUAAGCAUAUUAAUAAGCGGAGA